CCCUGCUGUUUGAGUGUGCAGAAAAGUGGGUUGGAGAGGAAUCUGCGUUUAAACUGCGUAGUAUUUUUUCCGCACAGUACAUUUGCGAAAGGACUUGGUUGGUGGUAAUUAUUACUAUUUAACAGAAUCUACCCUUGUAAUUAAACACAAGGCUGAAGUUAGGUCCAACGCCGUUAAAUAGGCAGAGAGCGCACGAGAAGAGGCACAUCGGAUGGUGACUCGUGUUGUAAAAUAAGAAGCGCGGAUCGGACAAAAUCGUAAGAGUCGCAGUCGUGCACAAGCAGAAGUGACAGGUGGUGUCCUUUUUGACGGCAAGCAACAUGGGCUAUGAUAUAGAGCGCUUUGUUGGCAAUGUGAAUGAGGGACUUCUGUGCUGCAUUUGUCAAGAUGUGCUGGAAAACCCACUUCAGGCACCUUGUGAACAUGCCUUCUGCAGUACCUGCAUCCAUGGCUGGUUGGUGCAUCACCAUAACUGUCCUGAAGACAGACAGUCACUUGAUGUUUCAGUGUUGCGGCCUUUAUCCAGGUAUAUGAAGAAUGACUUGAAUCAAUUGCAGAUCCGAUGCAGAAACAGAGAACAUGGCUGUAAUAUGGUUUGUUCACUUGAAUCUAUAGAUCUGCAUGAGGUGACAUGCAUCAAUCCCCGUACGUAUCAAUAGGACAUUUUCAAUUACGGUCUGUACAGUAUACAAAUUAAGUGUCUAUAACAAAUAAAAAUUAAUGUAAUAUUAUAAAGACUUUAAUAGUUGUAAGCAAUUAAAUACCAAAGUAUAAAUAUCCAGAUUACAGUAGUUAAUACUCUUAAAUAUUGCACUUAGUUUUUAAUUACAGCAAAUGUAGGUAUAAGCCAAAGCUACUGAAUGUCUGUCUCCAGUAAUAUCUAAGUAAUUGUGUUUUCAUUUUAAAGGUAACAGCUCAAGUUAUAAUGCAUCUGUUUUAGAUUUUCCUUUUAACAAAUUCUGACUUCACAAAUUUCUUUUAAAAAUUUUACAAAAUGUUAGAUUUUCCAUAUCACAUUCUAUUUUUUUUCUGGAUGUAAAUUUGAGUACUAACUGUCAUACAAUGAACAGAUUUUUCUCAUCCUAUACUAUUAAUCUAAUAAUUAUGCUAUAAUAUAACCUUGUAACAGACUUAGGAACACUCCAAGAUAUUUGUAUAUUAGCAUAUUAAGAUCUUAAAGUUGGGGAAAUUGAAAUUAUGCAGUAAAAGCUAACAAUGCAAUUUAACUUAAUGUCAUUUUUUAAAGUUGGUAUUAAUAUUUUACACAUAAUGAUUCAUAGGCUUCUUUUUCAAUACAUGCCAUAUAAAUAAGGACAAGCCAGCAAAAACAUAAAAUUAAUAGAAAAACAAAAAUAAAAAAUAAAGAGCUUACUUGGUAGACACAGGUUUGCAGUUAAAAUGUUAUUUUCCACAGUUGGCCAACAACACCAUGCCUUUAAUAAAAAAUACAGAAUAGGAUAUUCAGGAAGAACAACACAUAUUUUAAAUAAUUUGCUAGCAAAUCCAUUCUGUGUUAUAUUUCAAGAGUGUGGUUUUCCAGUGUUAUGUAUACUUAUAUUGCAAAUAGGUACAGCCUUCUGGGGGUAAAUUUAAAAUGAAAACAUUAAAAAUGAUGAAGUCUGUCUAAUCAGCAGUUAUAUUGUAAACAACUGAAAUGAGUUUUCAGUAUUUGAGCAGUUACUGUAUGUGCUGCAUUUGGCAACAUUUUCCAAAACGUUUUUGUAUAGCAUGAGAUCUGAAACCACUUGAACUGAUUUUUCCAUAUCUAGACAUGGAGUAUCUUCAUUUUUACCAGAUUUGUAUUACAUGUAUAGAUUCAAUAAAAUCAGUAA